GAUAGGUCUGGGAGACAAUGACACUCUAAUCUGAUAGGUCUGGGAGGCAAUGACACUACUCUGAUAGGUCUGGGAGAGAAUGACACUCUAAUCUGAUAGGUCUGGGAGGCAAUGACACUCUACUCUGGUAGAUCUGGGAGACAAUGACACUCUACUCUGAAAGGUCUGGGAGACAAUGACACUCUAAUCUGAUAGAUCUGGGAGACAAUGACACUCUAAUCUGAUAGAUCUGGGAGACAAUGACUCUCUACUCUGAUAGGUCUGGGAGACAAUGACACUACUCUGAUAGGUCUGGGAGGCAAUGACACUACUCUGAUAGGUCUGGGAGACAAUGACACUCUACUCUGAAAGGUCUGGGAGACUAUGACACUCUACUCUGAUAGAUCUGGGAGAAAAUGACACUCUACUCUGAAAGGUCUGGGAGACAAUGACACUACUCUGAAAGGUCUGGGAGACAAUGACACAAUACUCUGAAAGGUCUGGGAGACAAUGACACUCUACUCUGAUAGAUCUGGGAGACAAUGACACUCUACUCUGAAAGGUCUGGGAGACAAUGACACUCUACUCUGAAAGGUCUGGGAGACAAUGACACAAUACUCUGAUAGGUCUGGGAGACAAUGACACUCUACUCUGAAAGGUCUGGGAGACAAUGACACUACUCUGAUAGAUCUGGGAGACAAUGACACUCUACUCUGAAAGGUCUGGGAGACAAUGACACUCUACUCUGAAAGGUCUGGGAGACAAUGACACAAUACUCUGAUAGGUCUGGGAGACAAUGACACUCUACUCUGAAAGGUCUGGGAGACAAUGACACUCUACUCUGAUAGGUCUGGG
ensembl:lncRNA